rnacentral:rRNA from 1 species
AUUGAACGCUGGCGGAAUGCUUUACACAUGCAAGUCGAACGGUAGAGGGGGCAACCCCUUGAGAGUGGCGAACGGGUGAGUAAUAUAUCGGAACGUGCCCAGUCGUGGGGAUAACGUAGCGAAAGUUACGCUAAUACCGCAUACGAUCUACGGAUGAAAGCGGGGGACUCGCAAGAGCCUCGCGCGAUUGGAGCGGCCGAUAUCAGAUUAGGUAGUUGGUGGGGUAAAGGCUCACCAAGCCAACGAUCUGUAGCUGGUCUGAGAGGACGACCAGCCACACUGGAACUGAGACACGGUCCAGACUCCUACGGGAGGCAGCAGUGGGGAAUUUUGGACAAUGGACGCAAGUCUGAUCCAGCCAUUCCGCGUGCAGGAUGAAGGCCCUCGGGUUGUAAACUGCUUUUGUACGGAACGAAACGGUAGAGCUCUAAUACAGUUUGCUAAUGACGGUACCGUAAGAAUAAGCACCGGCUAACUACGUGCCAGCAGCCGCGGU